CCAUGCCAAACCCCAGCUUGCAUUUUGCGGAAAAAAAAAUUAUAAAUGGAAUCUAUAAUACAAAAUGAUCCAGUAAUAUUAAAUAAAUUGAACAUAAUCUGGUCUUUCGCAACAACACCUGGUAAAUAUUAAGCAAACAGGCAUUAUUUUUUCAUUGCAAUUCCAUGAUACACUAAUAGAAUCCAAAACAUGAAGAGACAUAACACAGAUGUAAGGUUUGGCAUUUCACAUUUAGGCUAAUUGCAAUGUGAACUGCUGCUAUCUCUCUGAAUCUCUAAUCUGGUGCCUCAUCCCGACAAUGGUCCACUCUGCAUUCAGUGAUAGCCAACUCCCUUUAACUCCAUUUUUGCGACCUCACUACCACCAUCUUUACCAAGAAACAAAAGCCGACCUGCAGAAGACAAAUUUAGGGACAAGAGAACUUGGAUAGAAAUUUAACAAGCAUGUGAAAGUCGUCAUGAACUGGGAAGCUUCCCUUAAGUAACCUACCAUAUAUGGAGUAAUUCAUAUUUAUUGGUGCCUUUAUUCCUAUCUGUGUACAAGUGAAAAACUCUUAAACUACUUUAUUCAGAUUUUCAUUAUGUGACCCACUUUGCACAGGUUCUAUGUAAACAUCCAGUGGUCGAUGCAGACAGCAGAAGCAUGAACUUGUACUGUAUUCAUACCCAACAUAAACAUAUAACAUCCAAGCUCAGUGUCAGAGUUGAAUUCUCAAAAACACAGAUUAGACUACAAAUCAUUGAGCACUUCGCUCAAAUAAGUAUGAAAAUGGUUAACGUACCAUCUCAACACAGGGCAAUCUCUCUUAUAAGUCAAACAGGACCACUUAUAGGAUUACUAAAGGUUUUGGUCUCCAGGUUUCCCUCUGCAUAUGAAAUUGACCUACCAAACCAGAUAAAUAUUGAAAGAAAGGUGUCCAUCAGAAUGCUACAUGAAGAUCCCAACCAAAUGUAAGAGCAAGAGGUAUUAAAUUAUUAAGUACACAGUUUGGCAAUUAAGAUAAUCUCCACAAAGUGCAAUUAAAUGCGACAUAUGAUGGUGAACUUUAAUAGAAACAAGCAUGAUGGAAGUUGUUCUUCGUCAAUGAUAGAUGUGAAAAGAUGAUUAUUAGACAAAAAAAACCCAGAAAGUAACCUAAUCAUGGUGUUCUAAAACAAAAACUAUAUAACAAAAUACAAACAGACCUUGCAUACAAUGUUCAUAAGCAAGACAAAAUGCUGUGAAUGAUCAACUAUCUGACUCGGCGACAAUCAUAGCAUGUGAUUAUGAGUAUUUAACAUGGUAGCUUAUCAUCUAGAAAAUUCAACCAACAUGAUCAUAAUUUUGUGACAGAGCCCAAUCUCCUCCAUAGAAUGUGACCGAGUGGUAUAGUCCAGAUCAAAGCGAAAAAAGCCACACAUUGAUGUCCCGUGAUAACAAAAGAGGUAGCUGCUAUUUGGUUUUGAAGACUUUAUUAUUUGGUCAGGAGGUGUAAAUUAAGAAAUUAAUGGAGUUUUGCCGAAAACAAACCUCUACAUGAAAAAACUCAAGGGCACCAGUUAUUAGUACUAGUAGAAACUAGAGAUAACUAAAGUUCCUGCAGCUAGAAAGCCCAACACAAUCUAAUUGCCUGAAACUGAUAGUCUGACUAGCAAGAAUUGCAACUAGUAGUAAUAUGAUUGUACAUGAUGUACACAAACACAACCAUUAUAUAAAUCAUUAUCAAAUAGAUAAUUGAAGAAAUUCUAUUUAUAUCAAAAUCAUUAAUAAUUGAAGAAAUAUUUGAUACUAACUUAAUCUCUUAAAAACAUCCAACAAAUUUCUUUUACACAAAAUAAGUGUAUUUCCAAUACACAACAUCUAUAAGAAUAAUGGAGGAAACGAUAAUCCAUGAAUUACGACGAUUAAGGUCUUUGGUGGUAAUAACUGUGCUCUGCUCUGUCUCCUUUGAUUUCUCUACAGCAGGUUAGGGUUAGGGGCUUAGGGCCACGAUUGAAACUUAUUGAUAAGAGUUUAACUAUGAGAAUGGCCUGAAAGAGUUACAAAUGGUACCUUGGAGACUUCCACUUGAUGGAUAAACUCGUCCCGAUCCAGGCGAUCCUUGUAUAUCCUCAUUUCCAACGUACGAUUGCACAAUGACACAGAACUUCAAAUCACUAAAACACAAACAACAUAAAUUAACAUCUGUUUGAGAAAGAAUUCAUAAAAAGAAGGAGAACGCAUCAUCGUCAUCAUCUUGUAAUGGGUAGAACUGAGGGAUUGAAAUUUGUAAAUAAACGCACCGACCCCAAAUUUGGGAAGGUUUACGUUUUGUACGGGUCUAGGAUAACCGAUAGGAUUCGCUGAUCGAUGAACUUUAUAGAAUUCGGCAAUUCGCCGAAUACAAUGCUAACUAUUAAAAUGAUAAUUUUGCC
rnacentral:lncRNA from 1 species